GUUAUUUGGUGUGAUUGCGUUCAUCUGUUCAUUUUAUUUGAAUGUGCGACAAUUUGUUGUGCCUUUCGUGCAUAUUGGAACAGUAUUAGUGGUCACGAUGAUAGUUUAAAAUACAUCUAUAUCUUCGUCAAAAGUGUUCUCUCUGUGACUGGCAUUUUAAUACUCACCCUGGGUCUCCAUAAUCUAACCGAUAUUUAUGACAAUCAAGAUGCCGCUGAUGAAUCACCGUGGUUUGUUUCUGUUUUUCUGGUCAUAUUUGGAUUAAUCAUACUUCUAGUAACUUUUGUCGAUUUUUGUGCUGUUAUCACGGAGAAUUUGAACGCUAUGAUUUUCGU